rnacentral:rRNA from 1 species
UUUUGACAAUUUGACCUCAAAUCAGGUAGGACUACCCGUGA